GCCGCACAAUCUAAUCUCAAUGCAUCUAAUCCCUUCCUUUGGAUUUGAACACCUAAGAUCAAAUGAGAUUUGAUCUAUUAAGAUGUUAGGAAGAGGUUGGGCAUGAGAUUCCAUGUUUUUGUGCGACAAAAAUAAAGGGGCAUGAGGUUUUGCGUGAGAGAAAUGAAUGGCUUCUUUAGGACACAAAAAACAUCUCAAUGCCUCUUGUUCUUUCUUCCUUACAUCUCCAUGCCCAAGACCUGAUAGUGAUCAGAUCUAAGAGAAAAAAAGAGAG
rnacentral:lncRNA from 1 species